ACGCUCGACACCUACGGAGGCAGCAGUGAGGGAUAUUGGUCAAUGGGGGAAACCCUGAACCAGCAACGCCGCGUGAGGGAUGACGGUCUUCGGAUUGUAAACCUCUGUCCUCUGUGAAGAUAAUGACGGUAGCAGAGGAGGAAGCUCCGGCUAACUACGUGCCAUCAGCCGCGGUAAUCUGAGCGGCUGGCAAGGC
rnacentral:rRNA from 1 species